rnacentral:lncRNA from 1 species
AAGAAGUCAGGCCAGAUUAAGCCAUAGUACGGAAAGAGCUAUGCUGCCUGUGAGCCCCGUCCAAGGACGUUAAAUGAAGUCAGGCCGAAAGCCACGGAUUGAGCAAGCCGUGCUGCCUGUGGCUCCAU